rnacentral:piRNA from 1 species
UGUAUCUUGUGUAUUUUGAAGUUUUGGGC